AUGCAAAUAGUCAUUCCAGAUGGGGCCCAUAGAGUCCAGUUAGCUCCACCCUAGGGAAAGUUCUGGGGAGGAGUUUGACAGUAGCUUGUGGCACAACAGAAGCUGAGGUCACGGGAGCUGUUAUCUGAAUUAUGCAUCAUAAAGCAUCAACUUGAACCCAAGCACUCAAGUGCUGUGGCUGCCACCGAGGUUGAUCAAAGUCCGCAUGCCUGGUCCGCUGUGUACUUGCUUAUCCAAAUUCACGCAUGCUCUCCACCCUGGCAUCUCUGCCUGCAGGAAACCCCAGCCUGGAGGUAACAAAAGAUCUGCCCAACAGGGCUGUUGAGAGAAUUGGAAAUGAUAUACGUCAAGUCUUAGCAAGUGCCGAACCCCCAAUGAGGGAGGACUGAUGAGCAGAAGUUCUAUUCCCAUUUUCAGAUUGAAAAUCUCAGCCUCAAAAGAGUCAAGGAACAUGACCAGGGUUCCAUGGCCAUUUGCUAUCUGAGACAGAUCUUGAUCCUGGUUUCUUUUUUUAACCCCAAAUUCUAUGCCUUUGGCUCCUCUAACGGUUUGGGUGGGAACGUGGGGAAGACAAAACCAAAUGGACCUGCAUAAGAAAAUCAGUCUUAUUUUGCUGAGGACAAGACUGUGUGCACCUACUUCGAGGAAAUAACUGCGGCAGGCACUGCAGAGUGGAACAAGAGGCAGAGGACCUAGCUCCAUCCUUCAAGGGCAAUGGUGCCGCCAGUGAAAUGGGCCUGAUGCUACGUUUGCAGGAAGUUACAUGGACCUUCAAGGAGAACGCCCAGGGGUACUCACAGUAGAAGCAGGAGGGAGCCCCUGCCUCCCAGCGGGCAGCUGCAGAUGUCACAGGCAAGACCCCAAACGUCAGGCUGCUGUCAGGAUCAAAACGCUCCCCUCGGCCUGAGACACCUCCUUUAUUGCCAGAACCGGGACUGCAUAGAAAGGAAAAGACUCCGGGGAACACACACCUGACUUCAGCCACACCACCGCCUUCCUGGCCGUGGGACACAUGAUGUAUGGCCACCUAGAAAAUCUAUCGCGUUUUCAAGCAUGAAGACAGACGAAUAAAAUGCAUUAUUUUAUUAGCAACUCUUAAGAGCUCCUGCAAUGGCGUGAGUUACAGCAGAUACAACUAAUUUCAUAUAUUUAAUGUGUUUAUUAGCACUUAAUUUACACUAACUUGCAUUGCAGGAUACUCAGCUAUAACGCAUGUUUACUAUGCUGUGUCAUUCCACAUUAAGCAGACUUUGUUGAUUGUCACAACCAGUGUUUCUAGGCGAGCAGUUGUCUUGCGUCCAAUGAUUCCUCUCCCGUCCCAAUGUCACCUGCCCAUCUUUGCCAUCGCAGGGUUUGGUUUCCACGUUGUGGUCUCUUUCAUCUCCCAUCUUUCACGAGUGUUUCUUCUGAGGUUUUUCAGAGUUCUUACUAUGCUACCAUUUUUGUGCUUCCCAAAACAUUUUAUGCUCGAUUAAGUAAAUAAACACUCAAGGACAAGAUUAUUUAAAAUAGUCAAAAAAAAAAAUACGAUUUUUAUAAGCAUUUUAACGCCCUGCAUGAAGUUCAAAAUCGGUGGCAUGUUGAACAUUACUUGAUGUGGAAAUUCUAAGCUUAACUUUUCAAAAGAUUAAAUAAAAAGCUCAGAAACAUGUACAGAUUUUUCUCAUUAAUAAGUCACUGUCUGCGUCGGUCUGGGUCCUCCAGGAAGCAGAUGCAGAGAGGGAGGUAGGAGAGAAAGAUUUACUGGGGGACGAAGCAGGAGCGAGCAGGGCAAGCCUUCCAAGCAAGCGCACUGCAGAUCUGGUCUUGGGAAAGGAAAGGGGGAGGGAGGGAAAUAGGGCAGGGAACAUCUCAGUCCACACUGCGGAUCUUUCAAUGCUUCAGGGAACCCAAUGGGGAGCGGAGCAAAAGUGCCCAACAGAAGAGUCCCACACUGGGCGGAAAUGGCCGGGUUCCGGUGCCCUCGACAUGCCCAGCCCUUCUCUUGGGAGCUGCCUGGGAAGAGAGACCUUGGCUCAAUUGCUGUUGCAAAGGGUCCCAAAGGCACUGCAGCUGGAGGCCAAGAGCUAAGCACGUUCCUUGCAGCUGAACGGCGUGUCCUUUCUUGGAGGGAGCAAUGCUCUUCCGUGGUUUCCACGCUGCCACCCAUCUCCUGCCAAUGUGGACCUUUAUAAGGCAAACGGCAUAGCUUCCUAAGGUUACUAACUGCUUGUCUAUUCUUGGCCUGGAGUGAUCAAGUGAACACCAUGCCCAGCUGGACUGUGGGGGAGAUACAAUUAAACAUUUUAUAGGGAGAUAUAAUUGACUGACAGUUAGUGGUGAACCAUGGGUACC